rnacentral:lncRNA from 1 species
AUUACCUCACAUGUCUAUUACUCUUAAAUUGCAGAACAAGGGCUAAUCAUUCUUAAUUGGUAAAGGUAGUUUUCUCACUGGGAAUUCCCUUUUAUUAAUGAAAUACUUUAAGGUAAAAAAAUAAUGAUGCAAAAGCAGCACUAGGUAAGAAGGCAAUAUAAAGGCAAAAAAGACGUCAUCUCUGCCUUUGGCAUUGGCCCUUUACUUUGUGACCAACAUCUAUCUCUCAGUGAUAUAAAGAAGUCGACAAGCUCAAUGUAAAGAAACAUUUCCCCAUAGUUAGAACUCCUGUUGCUUCAAAAGGAGAGAGGGCUACAAGAGAUAGUUGACUUACCCUUUAUGGUAGGUCUUCCAGCAAAGAUUUGGUAACCAUGGAUCAAUGAUGUUCUAGUUUCAUAGACCUGAACCAUUUUAUACUGGAGUUUGACAACACUGAUCUAGAUCCUGGUACAAUGAGAAGUAUGAGGAAGGAAAGAUAACUUUUAUCUGGAUCUGAAAGUCAAGAAAUUAUCAAAUUAAUAAACAGAUGAAAUUGGCUGGUUCUAGGACAUGGAUCAGAGCCAGAUGCCAUCUUCCUCCAGAACUUCUGGAAGCUUAUGUUAAUCAAGGAUCAAUUCUUUGCACUCCAGCCCACUUGCAGAAGAAAAAGAGUUGUGGCUGCUAGGCAUACUCCAACUCCUUGAAGCCACAGAGAAGAGAUGGGUGAAAAGUGUACACCAAAGGUGGAUUUUCUUCAGCUAAAUCCCUUAGGGAUUUUCUUGGAAUAAAUACUAGAGUGGCAUGACA